rnacentral:rRNA from 1 species
GACGAACGCUGGCGGCGUGCCUAAUACAUGCAAGUCGACCUUAGUGGCGGACGGGUGAGUAAUGCCUAGGAAUCUGCCUGGUAGUGGGGGAUAACGUCCGGAAAAGGGCGCUCAUACCGCAUACUAUCAGAUGAGGCUAGGUCGGAUUAGCAAGUUGGUGGGGUAAAGGCAUGCCACGGCGACGAUCCGUAACUGGUCUGAGAGGAUGAUCAGCCACACUGGAACUGUGACACGGUCCAGACUCCUACGGGAGGCAGCAGUGGGGAAGAUUGGACAAUGGGCGAAAGCCUGAUCCAGCCAUGCCGCGUGUGUGAAGAAGGUCUUCGGAUUGUAAAGCACUGUAAGUUGGGAGGCGUUACCAACAGAAUAAGCACCGGCUAACUUCGUGCCAGCAGCCGCGGUAAUUC